rnacentral:rRNA from 1 species
GAGACUGACGGUAUCCGGUUGAGGAAGCCCCGGCUAACUCUGUGCCACCAGCCGCGGUAAUACAGAGGUGGCAAGCGUUUUUCGGAAUUUCUGGGCGUAAAGGGCGCGUAGGCGGCCUUCUAAGUCGGACGUGAAAGCCCCAGGCUUAACCUGGGAACUGCGUCCGAUACUGGCAGGCUUGGAUUCGGGAGAGGGAUGUGGAAUUCCAGGUGUAGCGGUGAAAUGCGUAGAUAUCUGGAGGAACACCGGUGGCGAAGGCGGCAUCCUGGACCGACAUUGACGCUGAGGCGCGAAAGCUAGGGGAGCAAACGGGAUUAGAUACCCCGGUAGUCCUAGCCCUAAACGAUGAGUGCUUGGUGUGGCGGGUAUCGAUCCCCUGCCGUGCCGAAGCUAACGCAUUAAGCUUCCCGCCUGGA